GAGCCGUGAAGAUAAAUCUGCGUUCCAUGUGAUGAUUGGGUUUGUCACAACCUUCCGAUUCGUGAAGAAAGCUGCGCAUCUGAGCUC